CUGCGCUCUCUCCUUAAUCCCUAUGUAUAUUUAAACAAAUGGAGGUUAUUUAGUUACUCCAAUGGCCACUGGAGGGAAUGCCCGCCUGCCCCGUCAAGGGCAAUGUUUAAAUAUACGCAGGGAUUUAGGAGAGAGCACAGGU